CUCCGAUCGCAGCACUUGGCCCUUCUCCGCCCGGGGGAGCCAGCACGCGCGCCUCCCCCCCACCCGCGCCAAUCUUUUCUCUUCUCCCCUCGGGACUGAGCCCUGCCUCCCGGGAGGGACCCCUCCAGCCAGCCACUGAGCCCGGGCACCUACACCAGCCUCUAGCUCCGGGUACCUGGGAGGAAACAUCUGGCGCAUCAUGGAAGGUUCUGAUGCCUUCAGUGAUCUACAAAAACAAAAGAAUUCCGUAUGCUUUGCAGACUAAACAAUCGCCCGUUUAAUCACUUUUAUCACAACCAAGGAUGCGUGGGUUAACCUGUCAAGUCCUACAAGAUUGGGCUGAUCAAACCUCAUGAAGACAAAGACUGGAACUAACACGAAGAACGUUUCUGUUGUUCUACCACUGUUUACAUUAGAGGGUUGCAUACAGUAUUGUGCUUCUGCCUUUGGCCACACGCUCUAUAGAAGGCAGAGCUGCAGACAUCCAUGUGAAUUGCAGUUUUGUAUCGGGGUUACAAAUUAUCCUCUUUAUUUGUUUGCUAUUUCCCCCCCUGCAUUAAAUGCAGGCUAUGGAAAAGGAGUUUAUUGUCUGGAAUAAAGAAAUGACAGAAACAUCA